AUUAAGGUAGCAAAGUGUUAAUGCGAAAGAUUUAGGAUCUUAUACCAAAGGUUAGAUUCCUUUCUUUAAUU
rnacentral:tRNA from 1 species